CCGCCCCUGGCGACAAGGCUGCCACAUGAGGUAGUCUUCUCAAGCAAGUCUUGAGAUAGCCAGGGGUGUUUAU
rnacentral:ncRNA from 12 species